GGUUAAGCGACUAAGCGUACACGGUGGAUGCCCUGGCAGUCAGAGGCGAUGAAGGACGUGCUAAUCUGCGAUAAGCGUCGGUAAGGUGAUAUGAACCGUUAUAACCGGCGAUUUCCGAAUGGGGAAACCCAGUGUGAUUCGUCACACUAUCAUUAACUGAAUCCAUAGGUUAAUGAGGCGAACCGGGGGAACUGAAACAUCUAAGUACCCCGAGGAAAAGAAAUCAACCGAGAUUCCCCCAGUAGCGGCGAGCGAACGGGGAGCAGCCCAGAGCCUGAAUCAGUGUGUGUGUUAGUGGAAGCGUCUGGAAAGGCGCGCGAUACAGGGUGACAGCCCCGUACACAAAAAUGCACAUACUGUGAGCUCGAUGAGUAGGGCGGGACACGUGGUAUCCUGUCUGAAUAUGGGGGGACCAUCCUCCAAGGCUAAAUACUCCUGACUGACCGAUAGUGAACCAGUACCGUGAGGGAAAGGCGAAAAGAACCCCGGCGAGGGGAGUGAAAAAGAACCUGAAACCGUGUACGUACAAGCAGUGGGAGCACGCUUAGGCGUGUGACUGCGUACCUUUUGUAUAAUGGGUCAGCGACUUAUAUUCUGUAGCAAGGUUAACCGAAUAGGGGAGCCGAAGGGAAACCGAGUCUUAACUGGGCGUUAAGUUGCAGGGUAUAGACCCGAAACCCGGUGAUCUAGCCAUGGGCAGGUUGAAGGUUGGGUAACACUAACUGGAGGACCGAACCGACUAAUGUUGAAAAAUUAGCGGAUGACUUGUGGCUGGGGGUGAAAGGCCAAUCAAACCGGGAGAUAGCUGGUUCUCCCCGAAAGCUAUUUAGGUAGCGCCUCGUGAAUUCAUCUCCGGGGGUAGAGCACUGUUUCGGCAAGGGGGUCAUCCCGACUUACCAACCCGAUGCAAACUGCGAAUACCGGAGAAUGUUAUCACGGGAGACACACGGCGGGUGCUAACGUCCGUCGUGAAGAGGGAAACAACCCAGACCGCCAGCUAAGGUCCCAAAGUCAUGGUUAAGUGGGAAACGAUGUGGGAAGGCCCAGACAGCCAGGAUGUUGGCUUAGAAGCAGCCAUCAUUUAAAGAAAGCGUAAUAGCUCACUGGUCGAGUCGGCCUGCGCGGAAGAUGUAACGGGGCUAAACCAUGCACCGAAGCUGCGGCAGCGACGCUUAUGCGUUGUUGGGUAGGGGAGCGUUCUGUAAGCCUGCGAAGGUGUGCUGUGAGGCAUGCUGGAGGUAUCAGAAGUGCGAAUGCUGACAUAAGUAACGAUAAAGCGGGUGAAAAGCCCGCUCGCCGGAAGACCAAGGGUUCCUGUCCAACGUUAAUCGGGGCAGGGUGAGUCGACCCCUAAGGCGAGGCCGAAAGGCGUAGUCGAUGGGAAACAGGUUAAUAUUCCUGUACUUGGUGUUACUGCGAAGGGGGGACGGAGAAGGCUAUGUUGGCCGGGCGACGGUUGUCCCGGUUUAAGCGUGUAGGCUGGUUUUCCAGGCAAAUCCGGAAAAUCAAGGCUGAGGCGUGAUGACGAGGCACUACGGUGCUGAAGCAACAAAUGCCCUGCUUCCAGGAAAAGCCUCUAAGCAUCAGGUAACAUCAAAUCGUACCCCAAACCGACACAGGUGGUCAGGUAGAGAAUACCAAGGCGCUUGAGAGAACUCGGGUGAAGGAACUAGGCAAAAUGGUGCCGUAACUUCGGGAGAAGGCACGCUGAUAUGUAGGUGAAGUCCCUCGCGGAUGGAGCUGAAAUCAGUCGAAGAUACCAGCUGGCUGCAACUGUUUAUUAAAAACACAGCACUGUGCAAACACGAAAGUGGACGUAUACGGUGUGACGCCUGCCCGGUGCCGGAAGGUUAAUUGAUGGGGUUAGCGCAAGCGAAGCUCUUGAUCGAAGCCCCGGUAAACGGCGGCCGUAACUAUAACGGUCCUAAGGUAGCGAAAUUCCUUGUCGGGUAAGUUCCGACCUGCACGAAUGGCGUAAUGAUGGCCAGGCUGUCUCCACCCGAGACUCAGUGAAAUUGAACUCGCUGUGAAGAUGCAGUGUACCCGCGGCAAGACGGAAAGACCCCGUGAACCUUUACUAUAGCUUGACACUGAACAUUGAGCCUUGAUGUGUAGGAUAGGUGGGAGGCUUUGAAGUGUGGACGCCAGUCUGCAUGGAGCCGGCCUUGAAAUACCACCCUUUAAUGUUUGAUGUUCUAACGUUGACCCGUGAUCCGGGUUGCGGACAGUGUCUGGUGGGUAGUUUGACUGGGGCGGUCUCCUCCUAAAGAGUAACGGAGGAGCACGAAGGUUGGCUAAUCCUGGUCGGACAUCAGGAGGUUAGUGCAAUGGCAUAAGCCAGCUUGACUGCGAGCGUGACGGCGCGAGCAGGUGCGAAAGCAGGUCAUAGUGAUCCGGUGGUUCUGAAUGGAAGGGCCAUCGCUCAACGGAUAAAAGGUACUCCGGGGAUAACAGGCUGAUACCGCCCAAGAGUUCAUAUCGACGGCGGUGUUUGGCACCUCGAUGUCGGCUCAUCACAUCCUGGGGCUGAAGUAGGUCCCAAGGGUAUGGCUGUUCGCCAUUUAAAGUGGUACGCGAGCUGGGUUUAGAACGUCGUGAGACAGUUCGGUCCCUAUCUGCCGUGGGCGCUGGAGAACUGAGGGGGGCUGCUCCUAGUACGAGAGGACCGGAGUGGACGCAUCACUGGUGUUCGGGUUGUCAUGCCAAUGGCACUGCCCGGUAGCUAAAUGCGGAAGAGAUAAGUGCUGAAAGCAUCUAAGCACGAAACUUGCCCCGAGAUGAGUUCUCCCUGACUCCUUGAGAGUCCUGAAGGAACGUUGAAGACGACGACGUUGAUAGGCCGGGUGUGUAAGCGCAGCGAUGCGUUGAGCUAACCGGUACUAAUGAACCGUGAGGCUUAACCUU
rnacentral:rRNA from 1 species